ACAACAUACGGACCGUCUACUAGUCUACCGAGCAAUAUCACCCGCUCGGUGGAAGAUCUUCCCUUUGUCGU
rnacentral:pre_miRNA from 1 species